rnacentral:rRNA from 1 species
UCUAGUGAUGAUGGCGAAGAGGUCACACCCGUUCCCAUACCGAACACGGAAGUUAAGCUCUUCAGCGCCGAUGGUAAUUGGGACCUUGUCCCUGUGAGAGUAGGACAUCGCUAGAU